AUUGAACGCUGGCGGCAGGCCUAACACAUGCAAGUCGAACGAGUGGCGGACGGGUGAGUAAUGUCUGGGAAACUGCCUGAUGGAGGGGGAUAACUACUGGAAACGGUAGCUAAUACCGCAUACCAUCAGAUGUGCCCAGAUGGGAUUAGCUUGUGGGUGGGGUAACGGAUCACCAAGGCGACGACCCCUAGCUGGUCGGAGAGGAUGACCAGCCACACUGGAACUGAGACACGGUGCAGACUCCUACGGGAGGCAGCAGUGGGGAAGAUUGGACAAUGGGCGAAAGCAUAAUGCAGCCAUGCCGCGUGUAUGAAGAAGGCCUUCGGGUUGUAAAGUACUUUCAGCGGGGAGGCGUUACCCGCAGAAUAAGCACCGGCUAACUCCGUGCCAGCAGCCGCGGUAAUUC
rnacentral:rRNA from 1 species